GCCCUGGUAGCUCAGCGGACAGAGCACCCGCCUCCUAAGCGGGCAGCCGCCGGUUCGAUUCCGGCCCGGGGCA
rnacentral:tRNA from 1 species